rnacentral:rRNA from 1 species
AUUGAACGCUAGCGGCAGGCCUAACACAUGCAAGUCGAACGAGUGGCGGACGGGUGAGUAAUGUAUGGGAAACUGCCUGAUGGCGGGGGAUAACUACUGGAAACGGUAGCUAAUACCGCAUACCAUCGGAUGUGCCCAUAUGGGAUUAGCUAGUGGGUGGGGUAAAGGCUCACCUAGGCGACGAUCCCUAGCUGGUCUGAGAGGAUGACCAGCCACACUGGAACUGAGACACGGCCCAGACUCCUACGGGAGGCAGCAGUGGGGAAUAUUGCACAAUGGGCGAAAGCCUGAUCCAGCCAUCCCGCGUGUAUGAAGAAGGCCUUCGGGUUGUAAAGUACUUUUAGCAGGGAGGCGUUACCCGCAGAAGAAGCACCGGCUAACUACGUGCCAGCAGCCGCGGUAAUAC